UACGUAGGGUCCAAGCGUUGUCCGGAUUUAUUGGGCGUAAAGAGCUCGUAGGCGGUUUCGUAAGUCGGAUGUGAAAACUCAGGGCUCAACCCGGAGACGCCAUCUGAUACUGCGAUGACUUGAGUCUGGUAGGGGAACACGGAAUUCCUGGUGUAGCGGUGAAAUGCGCAGAUAUCGGGAGGAACACCGAUGGCGAAGGCAGUGUUCUGGGCCAGUACUGACGCUGAGGAGCGAAAGCGUGGGGAGCGAACAGG
rnacentral:rRNA from 1 species